GCGGGUGUAGCUCAGUUGGCAGAGCGUCUGCUUCCCAAGCAGAAUG
rnacentral:tRNA from 1 species